rnacentral:rRNA from 1 species
UACGGAGGAUGCGAGCGUUAUCCGGAUUUAUUGGGUUUAAAGGGUGCGUAGGCGGCCGAGCAAGUCAGCGGUGAAAUUUUGCAGCUUAACUGUAACAGUGCCGUUGAUACUGCAUGGCUAGGAUUUGGUUGCUGUGGGUGGAAUGUGUGGUGUAGCGGUGAAAUGCUUAGAUAUCACACAGAAUAUCAAUUGCGAAGGCAGCUCACAAAGCCAAGAUUGACGCUGAGGCACGAAAGUGUGGGGAU